rnacentral:rRNA from 1 species
UACAGAGGGUGCGAACGUUGCUCGGAAUUACUGGGCGUAAAGCGCGUGUAGGCGGGACGAUAAGUCGGAAGUGAAAUCCCCGGGCUCAACCCGGGAACUGCUUUCGAAACUGCCGUCCUCGAGUACCGGAGAGGGUGGCGGAAUUCCUGGUGUAGAGGUGAAAUUCGUAGAUAUCAGGAGGAACACCGGUGGCGAAGGCGGCCACCUGGACGGUUACUGACGCUGAGACGCGAAAGCGUGGGGAGCAAACAGG